rnacentral:rRNA from 1 species
CCAAGGAGUCUAACAUGUGCGCGAGUCAUGGGGUUGUAAACCCAAAGGCGUAAUGAAAGUAAAGGUCAAUUCGGUUGACCGAGGUGAGAUCCCUGUAAGGGGCGCAUCACUGUCCCAUCGCAUCUACUUGUUAGAGCGGUGGAGAAAAAGCGUACACGUUGGGACCCGAAAGAUGGUGAACUAUGCCUGAGCAGGAUGAAGUCAUCGGAAACGGUGAUGGAGGUCCGUAGCGGUUCUGACGUGCAAAUCGAUCGUCAGACUUGGGUAUAGGGGCGAAAGACUAAUCGAACCAUCUAGUAGCUGGUUCCCUCCGAAGUUUCCCUCAGGAUAGCUGGCACUUAAACGCAGUUUUACCCGGUAAAGCGAAUGAUUAGAGGCCUUGGGGACGAAACGACCUCAACCUAUUCUCAAACUUUAAAUGGGUAAGAAGUCUCGCUUGCCUGACCGAAGCUCAGACAUUGAAUGCGAGUGCCAAGUGGGCCAUUUUU